rnacentral:sRNA from 1 species
GAUUCAGGCGGAACACGAAGUAGAACGGGAGGAAUGAGUGUAUCGUUAGCAAGUCCCGAUGGACGUGUAGUAGGCGGUG